UACGUAGGGGGCAAGCGUUGUCCGGAAUUAUUGGGCGUAAAGAGCGUGUAGGCGGUCCGGUAAGUCAGCUGUGAAAGUCAAGGGCUCAACCCUUGAAUGCCGGUUGAUACUGUCGGGCUAGAGUCCGGAAGAGGCGAGUGGAAUUCCCGGUGUAGCGGUGAAAUGCGUAGAUAUCUGGAGGAACACCGGUGGCGAAGGCGGCAUCCUGGACCGGCAUUGACGCUGAGGCGCGAAAGCCAGGGGAGCAAACGGG
rnacentral:rRNA from 1 species